UUGAUCUUGGAAAGCAGUCUUUACUUCAUUGUUAAGAAACUCAAUGCUUGGUACCUGGAGCACCUCAGAUCUUUUCUGUUGGAAACCUGUAAGGAAGUGAAUGUUGUUCCAUCACCUCAGCCUUCAAGAUGUCUAUCCACUUGCAGCUUACAGACUUGCAGGAAUGCGCAUGGUUACACUGAAACGUUACAUUUGUUGUACAUUUUAGAUUCUAUCUAUCUAUAAACUGUUGGUGAUUUUGUGAAUUAGCCUAUUUCCAAAAAACGGCUGCCCACCACAUCACUUGUUUUCAGAGGGUUUGAGCGAUUUUGGUGCUUAAUGGAGGUAUAACCUUUAUUUUUUAAAAUAUUAUUUUCUUCUCACUAGACCACUUGACAUGGAUUCAGCAAUGCUCCGGCUGACCUUUGGUCACAGAAUAGAGAAAUUGAUUCUUCCAUCCGGAAUACCAGAGACUAUGGAGGAGCUGAACUUGGCCGUCAAGCAGACAUUAAGUAUCCCCAACGACUUCAGCCUGCAGUAUUUAGAUCCAGAAUUUGAGGACUUUUUUACUCUCAACUCCACUGCUGAAAUUACACACAAGGCCACAAUUAAGGUUGUGACAAUCGAACCAGUUGUUCUGAAUUUGUAUCCAGUACCACAUAAUGAAAGCUACGAUGAAAGUUUCACCUCAGAACAAUCCCAAGAUCCUGCCUCCACAAGUUCCACUGCACAAGACUCCUAUGACUCAUGUGAAUCAUCAUCUGCAAGCUCAGCCAUCAAGUCAUCAAGCAGCAGCCUACAAAAGAAACCAUGGCCAACUGAAUUCAUUAUUCCACGAUUCUCUGUUGAAACCGAAAUGAUUCUUAAAGAGCCAAUGAAGAUUACAGAAAAGACGGCAAACUGCUGACUACCCCAAACAUCAAGUCAGACAUACUUGAAAAGCUAGCUCAGUCCAUUUAUACAUACACUCCCUAUCCAUCACUCCAGAAUUGUCUUUCUGUUGCUGAAGCACUUAUCAAGGCACACCCAUGUCCGAAAGAUCCGGGGAGCUCUUCAGGCGUCAUUGGAUGGCAGAAUAGCAUUAAAUACAAGAUGGCUAACUACAGAACAAACCUAAGAGGCCUUGGUAUUCCAGAUGGUACAUGCAAUGCUCUGAAACAUAAAUGCCAUGCUGACAGGAAGUCUGCCAAAAAUGUAAAAAAGGCAAAAAGAGCAGAGGUCAAUUAUCUGCCACCCUACCCAGCUGGUGAAAAUGAGCAUAGCUUGGAGAAAGUAAGGGAAGAGCUGGUCAUCGAGUCAAAAAAGAAGAACAACGAAAAGAUAGUCAAAGACAAAAUGAGCAAAACAUUUGCCCUCAGACGACAUGAAAUCCUCAAUCAGUGUCCAAGUGUUCGAGCCAUGAAGAACCGCUGGCCUGCCCUGUUUGACCCUUCUCAGAUCAAUGCAGAAUUUCAAAGAACAACUACUGUACAUCUGGAGCCGAAAUUUAUGUCUGCGUUAGACCGUCACACUCCCAAGCAACUGACACUAUUUCGUGCCAAAGGUGGAGCACUUGGAAGAAGACUGGAGAUCAUAAUGGAACCGCUGGAGGACUCAGUGCACUCUUCGGUUGAGAGGACCAGAGAGGUUGUCCUUCGAUGUCUUAUAGAAUACCUUGGAGAACAAGGGGGACAUCUCAUCAAAUAAUUCAACGACACUGAGAACUUGGAGGAACUUGAAUGGCUCAUAAUGGCAAUUGCUGUGACCCCAAAGCCCGCAGAUUCUACAAGCAACAGCCCAAACAACAUUGGAAUUUUCAUAGAGGGCGUGGAAGUCAUCACAAGACUCAGAGAUAUUGCAAGGGCUUGCUCUGUCCUCCUUGGCUUGACCUACGCACUGAAUCUCGAUUAUCCCAGACAGCUAAAGUACACAUUUGAGGUAUUCCAAAAACUUUUCUUGGAAAUGGAUGAUUCAAAGCUGUCAAACAAAGUCCAGUCCCUCAAGAGCAUACUUCUGGCUUGAAAUGAGACUGUUGCAGUGCAAACAUUUGUGCUACACAAUGUUCAGCUUCUACAGAGCUUGAGAAUUGCACAUUUGAAAGUGCUAUGUGUGUAAGUUAGCACUGGACUCUUAUCCCACAAAUGUCAGUGACAUUUCUAUUGUGGGUAGUUCAAAGUGUAAAUGUUUUUUACUCUACACAUUACACUUUUCUGCUUUUGUUUUGGUACAUGCACUUCUGGAGGAUUUUUCUUUAAGAUCAUUAUGGAUCCAAUUUAGUGGCUAAGUGAGGUGAGAAAGCAUGGAAACACAUGUUUAUGGACACAUCACCACUGUGUAAUAGGGAAUUUAUUUUAGUUUUUACAAAAUAGUUUGAAGUCAGCAUUCUGUCCUUUUCAAAUUUCUCAUUUGAAAUUCAACGUCUAACUUCUGGCUUGAAAUGAGACUGUGGUUGCAGUGUUCACUG